GCCGGGCAUGGUGGCGUGUGCCUGUAAUCCCAGCUACUAGGGGGGCUGAGGCAGGAGGAUCGCUUGAACCUGGGAAACGGAGGUUGCAGUGAGCCAAGAUCGUGCCACUGCACUCCAGCCUGGGCAACAGGGCGAGACUCUGUCUCAA
rnacentral:SRP_RNA from 1 species